GAUGAAGAAUGUAGCGAAAUGCGAUAAGUAAUGUGAAUUGCAGAAUUCAGUGAAUCAUCGAAUCUUUGAACGCACCUUGCGCCCUUUGGCCAUUCCGAAGGGCAUGCCUGUUUGAGUAUCAUGAACACCUCAACUCUUUAUGGUUUUCCAUGAUGAGCUUGGACUCUGGGGGUUUUGCUGGCUCACAGUCGGCUCCUCUAAAAUGAAUCAGCUUACCAGUGUUUGGUGGGUAUCAUGGGUGUGAUAACUAUCUACGCUUGUGGUUUUUCCACCAGGUAACCUUCAGCAGUGGAGGUUCGCUGGAGCUCAUAGAUGUCUCUCCUCAGUGAGGACAGCCCUUUGAAUGUUUGAUCUCAAAUCAGGUAGGACUACCCGCUGAACUUAAGCAUAUCAAUAAGCGGAGGA
rnacentral:misc_RNA from 1 species